UUUACUUGAAAGAAACGUCAAUGUUAUGUUAUGUUAGAAAAAAAUUCGAAAAAUCUGGGCUGGGGUGUGGCAUAGGCGGGGUCAUUUUCGUCAUUUCAUUGCGAAAUCCAGAACCGAAGGACAUUUAUAAUCAGAGGGUCCUGCAAAGGAAACGGCGGAAAAGAAUCGUUAGACUUAACAGUUAAAAGGCCAAUUUUUGAAGAAUUUAUGGAUGCAAAAGAAGGUUGCAAGAAGGUUUCUCAAGAGCUGGCCCGGGAGUCACUUAUCGGAAUAUCUUAUUCCUUGCCAGAAAAAAUUAAGAAUUCAGAUGCUGUGACUGAAAUUCUCACUGGUGAAGACAGACCUAUGGAAAAUGGCAACGGAGCUGAUAAGUAUAGAUCUGAACUGAUUUCUAUUUCUUACAGUCAAUCUCCUGAUACUGCAAUAUCACCCGGGGCAUUAGAAAAGCAUGACGAUUAGCAUUCAUCUUUCUCUGUUAUUUUCUGUGUAAUGUAUUGGUGAGACUAACAUUUGAUGAAAGGUUCUUGUAACAUAUUUUCCUGGUUUUCUGUUGUGGAAUUACUAUGAUUUUACUUUUUACAACGAAUGUUGGGUUACCCUGUCUGGUUCUGUAUUGUUGUGUAAGUUACUAUAAAUGGUUUUUACUUUUUACAACUAUUCAUAUCAAUAGAUAAGAAAAGUUUACAUAUUA